GGCUGCAACUCGCCUACAUGAAGUCGGAAUUGCUAGUAAAUCGCGGGAUCAGCAUGCCGCGGUGAAUACGUUCCCGGGCCUUGUACACACCGCCCGUCACACCAUGGAAGUUGGUAACACCCGAAGCCUGUAGCCUAACCGCAAGGAGGGCGCAGUCGAAGGUGGGAUUAAUGACUGGGGUGAAGUCGUAACAAGGUAUC
rnacentral:rRNA from 1 species